CAUACCUAUUCGAAGGGAUAGGGUCGGCUCGGCCGGAUUUUACACAAGUGUUGCAUGGCUGUCGUCAGCUCGUGUCGUGAGAUGUUGGGUUAAGUCCCGCAACGAGCGCAACCCUCAUCCUUAGUUGCCAUCAGGUAAUGCUGAGUACUUUAAGGAAACUGCCAGUGAUAAGCUGGAGGAAGGUGGGGAUGAUGUCAAGUCAUCAUGGCCUUUAUGGAGUGGGCUACACACGUGCUACAAUGGUGUCUACAAUGGGUUGCAAGGUGCGCGAGCCUAAGCUAAUCCCUAAAAGACAUCUCAGUUCGGAUUGUACUCUGCAACUCGAGUACAUGAAGUUGGAAUCGCUAGUAAUCGUGGAUCAGCAUGCCACGGUGAAUACGUUCUCGGGUCUUGUACACACUGCCCGUCACGCCAUGGGAAUUGGUUUCACUCGAAGCU
rnacentral:rRNA from 2 species